GAUGAACGCUAGCGGCAGGCUUAACACAUGCAAGUCGAGGGGCAGCGAGGGUAGCAAUACCUGUCGGCGACCGGCGGAAGGGUGAGUAACGCGUGAGCAACAUACCCGUAUCAGUGGGAUAAUACAGGGAAACUUGUUCUAAUAUCGCAUAAUAUUAUUCAGAGGCAUCUUUGGAUAAUUAAAGUUACGGCGGAUACGGAAUGGCUCGCGUGACAUUAGCUAGAUGGUAGGGUAAUGGCCUACCAUGGCGAUGAUGUCUAGGGGUUCUGAGAGGGAGGUCCCCCACACUGGAACUGAGACACGGUCCAGACUCCUACGGGAGGCAGCAGUGAGGAAUAUUGGACAAUGGAUGGAAAUCUGAUCCAGCCAUGCCGCGUGCAGGAAGGCGGCCCUAUGGGUUGUAAACUGCUUUUGUACGGGAGCAAUAAGGUCUACGAGUAGAUUGAUGAGAGUACUGUACGAAUAAGCAUCGGCUAACU
rnacentral:rRNA from 1 species